AACAGUCUGUGUAGUGUGUAGGCCCUUGGAGACGAAUCCCUUUGCCAUCAUCCUUCCUGGCGCUGUAAUUCUUUUUCAUAUUUUCCCCGCGAUUAGUAUUCUCAAGAUAGCAGUAACAGCCAUCAUCUGAUAGUUUAAUUAAUUUGUGUAUAAGAAGAAUACUCCUAUGGUGCAGAACAUCAUUACAUUACUGGCACCAGGUUCCUAAUCUCUGUACUAUGAGCUGGCCGGGUAGCUGGGAUGGAAGCACGAAGGAACCACUGCGUCCUGUCACAAAUGCUGCCGAUGUCCCAUCGUUUUCCCAUCAGUUUUAGGCUGCAUUAUUGCUUCUUCUCCCAGGAUCCCAUCCAACUCCAAUCCAAGCAAGCUGUGUUGCGUUGCUGCCAAUCCAUUAAGCGUAGAACGACGAUGUCGUAACCGACUGGGAAUUUUUUUUUCCUUCAGGUUCAGAGCUCGUCGUCGACUUGGCUCCCACUGGCGUUGUGUUGUAGUAGUACGUGACUGGAGGCCGCUGUCUGUGCGCUGUUGGCGCGUGUGCGCCUGUCACCGUCGGCGAUCGGCCGUCGUCCUCGUCGUCGACGCUCUACCGGUGCAUGGCAUGACGUGGGGGUAGGUUACGCGUCGCUUUUCCUACGAGGAGCCCUCGCACUCGGUCCAGGCUCGCCCCUCGCUGGAUCUCAACUCUCGGAGCCUAACCGCACUGCUCUGCUGCGUACGGAUGCCCCCGUCCCUGGCAUCGCUGAACAGUUUAGUUGCUCAAUCGGUGCUACAUGUUGGACAAGUGGAUGGAUUCAAGUGAGGAAAUCCACCAUUUGUGGCAUUGAAUAAACCCGUGUUUUGCAAUAUCCUCUGGCUCAAAAUACAUGUCGAUUUAGUAUUUGUGAUAUUUUUUUUAUAACUUUGACCAUUGAUAUAAUCAUUUUAUAAAGGUUAACUAUAGAAAAGAUGUAACUAGAUUUAUCGUGAAAAAUAAUUUUGAAAUAUUUAAUUAUCAUUAUUGAAAAUUUUAUAUUUUUAUAGAAACUGCAAGGAAAACGUCGCUUAGUAGACAUUGUUGAUGCCGCAAAUAACAUAUAUUUUUAAUUAGAGAGUGCAGUAAAAAAAAGUCUAUGGUUCGCAUUUUCACCCAAUUUACAUUCAGUAAUGUCUGCAUUUCUCUUCUCCGAGCACUCGAACAGCGAUUACAAACCCUUGUAAAGCAUGUCUACAUGUACUUUGCAGGCUCACGUGUUAUCCAGUCUGUGAACGAUAUUCAUCCAACUGGACCAACUCAUAAUCCUUUCACCUACCCAUGAUUUAUCCUACCGUUGAUCUUAACGUGAAUGGCCCUGAUAUGCCCACGUAUGCAAGUGCAAGCUCCAAAUGGUGAUCCACCCUAGAACAGUACAGUACAUUGUCAGGCCCGGUCUUUGUUGCCUUCCUCCCUCCCUCCGGUUCAUGGACGUGCCUACAGGGACCGUCCCUAAAAGUAGGCGUGCUCCCCUUCUAAUUCCGCGGUUAGGUUCGCCGUCGCUCUCGCCGGCCGCUUCCUACUCCCCCGCCGGGAAAACGCCAUUUAGCCGCACGCCGCGUGCCGCGCGCGCGCGCGCCCGCUGCUUGUCCUCUCUGAUCACGUCCCAGAAACAACAGACACACAGGCUGUGAAAACCCAGUCGCCCUGAUCAUCCUCCGGCAUGUCUCUUAUGGCCGUAGCCACGGACCUUGCAGCGAAAGGCUCCGUCCCUUCACAGUCACAGCAGUUCAGCAGCAGCAGCUACACCAUGAUGGCUCCACGACGACUCUGCGGCCGGCCGGCGUCGCGAGGUCGACGAAGUGUUAUUGUGAUUUGGUCGUCAAGGACCGUAACAGCACUACAGCAGGAAGGCAGGCCGGAGGUGCCUCGCCGCUGCAGGGAAGUAAGGAGCUACGGCGGCCGUGGCGCCGUCGAUCGCGGUCGCUGUCCGGCUCGGGCGGCGACACACCGAAGGUUAGACGUCGCUGUGCGGCGCCGAACCUAUUGUCACGCAGCGAAAGCGUCCCGGCCCGGGGCGCGGCGGGGCGUGUUCAAUGCCGUGCUCGCCCAUUUCUUCUCCCUCUCCCAACCCAACCACUGUUGCAUUGCAAUUUGCAUGAACAGCAGCGCAAUAACUCGCGUGCUCGGGAUGCAGAGAACCGUGCAAGGUGUCGUGCCAUGUUUCUUACUUCGAAUCGAGCUCAGGUCGACAUGCUUGUUUAGAACGUGUAAAAUCAAGAGAAAAAUGUUUGGAACAUGUAAACUCGAAGAAAAAUGCUUGGAACAUGAGCAAACUGUUGGAGAAUCCCUGUGGUGGUUCAAUUUUCCCUCUGACGCUCAAGGUAACAGCAGCGUGCCCUGUCAUCAUCCAGCAGUAGAAGAGCAACGACCCCUGCUCUGCUCACUCGUCGUCCCGAGUCCGCCACGCCACCGCUCUUGGCGUCAGCUCCCCGGCCUCACCGUCGCCCUCCGUCAUCCCACCGGUCCGGCCGCGGCCCACGGCUUUCCGGCCUUCCGGGCCCCUACUUUCCCGGCGACCGGGCCACGCGAGGCGUCGGCGGCUGACUCCCGCAAUCGACCGGCGGCGCGGCGCGCGCACCGCCGCUCGUUCGAGCCGGACCGGCACGAUCAUCACGUGCUCCUUUUCCACCCCUCCGAUCCCUCCGCUGCUGCCGCUCUGCUCCCGGCCGCCCGGUCAAGCAGCGUCCCGUUCCGGCCGCGACAUGUCCGGGGAUCGGACGGAACCCGAAUCCCUCUCGGAUCAGUCCCGCCGCGCGCGCCCCGGAGGCAACAACCGCUGGCCCACGGAGCCCCCGUUCCGUCCCAUUCAGGAUCCCGUCACCGCCGUGGACGGGUUGGACCGACGGCGACCGGCCGGGGGUAGAAGACGGGUACACGUACACGGAUGGCGAUCCGAAUACGACGCGUGCAUGCAUGCAUGCAGCCACAUACGAUCGUGGACGACGAGCGAGACCGCACCGUACGGUACUGUGGCGAACGCCGACGUGGUCGAACUUAUAGAUCUGAGGGUAUGGCGCUCGUUGCUCAGUCAUGGCUGCUCCUGGAUCUGAUCGACGAGGUGAUGGAGAGGCGUGAUGACAAUCGGGCACGAAGAUCCGAUUAAAAAUGAUGCGAAUAGAAUCGAACCGACCACUGCUGCGUCGAUCGAUCUCAUCAAUCAUCAUGUCUCGCGGAGAAUUAUAGAUCGAUCCAUUCCAUGACGGGAUCAUCAUAAAUUCAUAAUCAUAAACAAAAACCAAUCUAUAUAUAUAUCCAUCAUCAUAAAAUCGAGCAUUCUUUUUUCUUCUAAAAAGCUUUGGUUCAGCACCAGCUGAGCUACCCUACAGAGCCCACAAAUGUGACCAUCUCCAUCUGGCUGCAGUCUCUGAAGACGCAAGAAGCUGAUCUCAAGUUGAACAGUCCGGCGAUAAAGGAUAUCGGAGUGGAUGGGUAAUCCAUCUGGUCCCGAGUGAUGGAGCAGCUGCAAGAAAUCAGGGGCGGCCCCGGCCGGACUGGAGGAGGCGGCCGCAUCCCCAUCGGGCUCGUGCCUUCCCGGCCAUCCCCUGAUGUGUCGACCCACGCGAAAGCAGGAGGAAAAAAGAGCAUCCGCAGCGAGGAAAAGAGUAGAGGAACAGAGGAGUUGAUGGAUGGAUUGAUCGGAAGGAGCAAUUAUGGACACCUCGCAAUGAUCAACUACAUACACGCAAUUCAGCUGUUAGGUGCGCCGUCGCCGUCGAACCGAUUCGGGACAGCGUGCCGUGCAUCCAAUCUAACCCUCCCAUCUCCUCUGCAAAGUAAGACAAUCCGGUGGAAUCCUGAUUUGCCACAGCUAAUUCGCAUUUGUGAUGGGAUAGGACGUGGGGCUUCUGGUCCUGGUCCUCCGUACUGUGCUUGGGAGUAGCUGAAAUCGUCGCGAACAGUCACUGAUAAGUAGGCCACGAGCCUACUUGUCAGUGACUGUUCGUGACGAUUAUGUAGUGAUGAAGUGGAGGGUGUUGGAAAAGAAAGAAAUAUCAGCAGCAGCUAGCACUACUUGUGGGCUUGUGGCAUGGUCCACAAAAGCAUUGAUGCCCAUGUAAAGAGUUUUUAAGGUGUGGGCAUGCAAGCUACUCUACUCCAGCUUGCAAUCUACUGGAAGCACAAGCGUCAUCAAACCCGGGGCCCUCCCUGUGGGGACGCCGCCAACUAGUUCCUUGCACCGCCAUGGCCCAACGGCAGCAGCAAGCCAGCAACCAGCAACCCCCGGUGGGCCGGCCGGAGCCGGACCAGGUGCGCUGCAAUGGGGGGCGCCAUGGACCAACCUAACCGGCCACGCCGAACGCGUAAUCCAUGGGGGAUUGGCCGGAGGUUCAUGCACGGGUGUCAUGGGAGGGAUGGCUGUUUAUGGAGGACCCUGAUUCCCCGGUCUGCGUUGGUGUCAGGUGGAUCAGGAUCCCAUGGAUUGGGGGAGUUCCGUUACGUCCGGUCCAUGAUCCAUUGAUCCGGUGCUAUACAUGGGGUUCAGCUUUCAGGAGGAGCCAUAGCCUUGAAGCAGCUAGAUCAUUGCCUGAGCCUGCAGGGAGCUGUCAUGCCUGGAGGAAGGGGUCUUUUUGGGUUCAGUUUGGGUGUCCCUAGCUUCCUUCUUCCCCACCCACAGCUAUGUCCUAGUUGCUGUGAUGUGUGACCUCUCUAAGUAUGAACGGAGAUGACCUUCACUGAGCCUGUUCGUUGCUACACACGUAUAAAUGUGACCAAAUGUGGGUUGGUUCUUUCUUGCAUGGCUCACAACAGAAGGAAAUGAAAGGUGGUUGCUCGCUGAUGUUUUCAGAGUGUGCUAAAUGCCUGAAUCUGACAGUUGAAUUAGGAACUCUUUGGCCGUACUUUAUUUUCCACUGUGUCUGAAUGUCUGAACUUUUGCUUUAAUUUGGCUGUCUGAAUGCCAUCUAUUAUCUUAAUAAAAUAGUGUUAAAACUAUUAUCUUAAUACAAUAGUGUUAAAAGAAGUCAUCAUGUUCGUCGAGCUAAAAAGAGAAAAGAAUAUACACCAUUAGAUUUUAUGAAGAUCUAAUGGUUUAGAUUAAUUCUAAAAAGUUGAAAAAGAAAAGAAUAUAUACCAUUAGAUUCUGCGAUGAUCUAAUGGUCUAUAUUAAUUCCAAAAAGUCCAUUUCAAAUACUACUAAAAGAUUUUAUAUAUAGAUUCAGAAUUUAGAAAACAACGAAAUUAGCAUUUGACUUUUAUGUUGAUUACGAUAGAUAAAAGAUAAAUUUGGAAUAGAAAAAAAAAGAGAUACAACUCUAAUAAAGAAGAGUAAGUUGAUUCGAAGGUCAGUUUACAACGUAGGAAGCUAUACUUUCUAUGGUAAUUUGCAUAUAUAGAAAGUUCGGAAUUAAUGUUGGAUGCCUAAAUUUAGCAGUAACAAGUAGCUUGGAAGCAUCAACGCUGUGAUUCUUAUGUAUUCGACGUAAAACCACUCCAAUAUUGAGUUGCCAAGCAAAACCUAGCAUGCCACGGAUUGAAAUUUCUUGCUAUAAAAAAUGGUGGAAAUAUAAAGUUCAGUAAGAUAUACUAUAGAGCUGCAAAGGCAACUCACAGAGAAAGGUGAUGAUGCGCUAAAGGAAAAACCCAAAUUACUACUAUGUACUAUCAUCAAAGUUUGGAUAACCCUCUGAACUAUAGAACCGUUUAUUUAACCACCUGGGUUUCAAAAACCGGCUCAUUUUUCACCUUUGACAUUCAAUUCAAAGUGGUUUUGCCACGUGGAUGGUGGUUUUGAUGUCUGAGAUGGCCACAUCAUCACUUCUCUCAUACCUCUUCUCUCCUAUGGUGUUGCAUUGCCACCUCUCUCUCUCUCUCUCAUGCCAUGGCGGGGCACGGGUUGCGGGUCAUUCUCAUCACGACGGCAGCGCGUGGCUUCGUCAACGCUAGCAUCGCCCUAGGCGCUGGCAGCGGGAGCGCCUUGAGUCUCACGACUACCACGUGGGUGGACCGGGUAACGACUGUGGCGGCAGGAGUGCCUUGAGCGUUGCGGCCGUCACUUGGGGUGGACCGGGUGCCGAGCGCAAGGGCGGAGGUAGAGCACGGCACGACAACGACAUUGUAGCAAUUGGCCUUGCCCACGGCAUAGUCAGAGACCGCGGCCCCGAUGUUGCAACGCGUGGUACGCCAGCACAGCUAGAUGGUGUGCAGCGGUAGGAUAGGCGAUAGCGCAACACGGGGAUGGUGUAGGGUCGCGUGAGAGGAUAACGAGUGGGGGAGGAGCUCACCGGAGGGGGAGAAGAAGAGAGAGGGAGAGAGAAGCCGGGAGAGAUAAGUGAUGACAUGUCCAUUCCGGUCAUUAAAAUCGACAUCCGCAUGGCAAAACAACUUUGAAUUGAAUGCCAAAGAUGAAAAAUGAGCUGGUUUUGGAAAAUAGGGGUUUAAAUAAACGUUUUUAUAGUUAAGGAUUAUCCAAACUUUGCUGAUAGUAUAGGAAUAUGUGUUAACUAUGGCUUAGGUUAAGCAACAUGAUUAGAUGAGUAGCAAGGGUAAAUGGAUAGGUGUGACUGACAAUGCAUAAUCUAUUACUAAUGGUGCAUCGUCGACAAGGUCAUUGGCCGUAGAUUGAUAUUACUUGGAACUUGCAAGAGCCACGAUGAUAGGGUGCCAAUUUGCAGCCACGGCAGCAGACGAGCACAGGGCAUGACUUCUGCCUUUAUAUGAGCAACCCAUGAGCCUGUAUUAGGUUUAUAUUUUAAUAAAUUCAUUAAUAAAAUUAAAAACUAAACGCCAAAUUUAUGGAUCGGUUGUAUGUGUGGAUUAGUUUAUAGAGUCUUUUGAAAUAAAGAGCAUAUAAGGAACUACUUUGAGUACAAUAAUUUGUUGCAAAUAAAUGUGAUAGUAAGUAUAGCACGUUUAUUUCAAAUUAUUAUUAGGGAGAAACAGAAGAAAUAGAAGUUCACAAUAGAAAAAAAUAUAGAAUUGAAUCUAGCCGUGCUAUUUGCAUGGGUCACCUUGUUCAAAAUGUUCUGAGUGUUUAGUGUGCACAGUUUUUUCUUGUAGCAUAGCAUCGCAUGAGAAGUGCACCAAGAUUUUCAUGCUGAAGGACUAACAGCGGGUGGUUGAUAGAGACGACAUGCGUACCUUUUCUAUUUGAAGUGAAAUUAACCAGCCCUAAGCUUUCGGCCUUAAAUUCCCCUCUCAAAUUAAAGGAGACACUGGACCAAGCAAAGGACACUGAACCCAGUGGUCGGCUACCGUUAGACUUGUCUGCUGGAUAGCUGGAGAGGCCCAUGUCGCAGUGGGCGCGCGCACAAUUGGCAGGCUCGUGCCAAUUCUCCCUCCAUGAGACCAUGACAGAUCCCCUCCCGCUUCUCAAGGAAACCCAACAACGGAUUUAACGCAAUGGAGUCCAAUUUUUUUUAAGUUAAAAAAUGCAUUUGCAUUCGGAGAAACUCCAGAGGUGUUUGAUGAUCUCAUGCCGUAAUUCAUACUAUUAGGAAAUCACAUCUUAACUAACGGUUAAAUAAAACACCCCUCAUAAUUUUUACGGGUUGUGUUACCCUUUGAUUUCAGCCGAUUAGUUUAUUUAGACCAGAUUUAACGAGGGGCACAUGUCUCUUUUCCUAUCCUUAUUAAUACUCCCUCCAUUCUUAAAAAAAUCAUUUUAAGAUUAUUCUAAGUUAAACUUUUUUAAGUUUGACCAAGAUUAUAGAAAAAACUAUAUAUAUUUAUGGUAUGAAAUAAGUGCCAUUAGAUUUAUCAUGAGAUAUAUUUUUAUAAUAUACCUAUUUGAUACCAUAAACAUUGAUAUUUUUCUUUAUAAAUUUGGUCAAAGUUGAGAAAGUUUGACCUGAGACAAUCCUAGAAUGACUUGUUUUUUGAAUGCAGGGAGUACGAGCUAAAAGCGUAUAGGAUCCAUCAUAUUAUAUGAUGGAUAGAGUAUGAGUUUGAAGAAAAAAAAUGUUGUGAAAUAAUCACCUAUAUCCCUAUUACUAAUAAAUAGGUAAAUGACACAACUAGUUCCUUUUCUUUCCCAGCAUUUAAUUUGAGGCGUGGCAUGAAAACAUUUACAUAACUACACUCUUGAUAUCCUCCAUGCGCAAGCAUUGUGAUACAUGUUCUUCGAGGUCAUGGUUCAAUGAAAGUUUUGAAACUUUUGUUAUUAGUAACUUUUACAAGAUUUGGUUUAUAAACAUAGAAACCAUUCGUCUAUCUUCACCAUAAAAAAGUAUAGUUUUAUAGUCUCAAAGUUUGAAGGAUUUAUAAAUAUAUUUUAAUAGAAAAAUUGAGCUGAGCUAGAUAGUAGUAUUUUCCAGGCCCAAGCCUUUGCCAUCUUUGGUCAGAUUUGUCCAUGGUUCGGCUCGACGCAACAAAGCUGUGUUUUCAUUUGUCCCUCGAGUCCCAAAACUGGUCGGCAACACAGAAUUCGAUUCAAUUUCCAUCUGCUUCGUUCGUGAAGAAAUCCUGUCGAAUACUUGCGAGGUGCCUGCUGUCUCCUUCCAUUGCUCCGUAUAGCUCUCAGUGACAGAAGACCUACAGGCUACAGUAUGUGACGCUCGUCAGGGCAUUGCUAGGGAUAGGUCAGUACUAGGCUCCAUGGCAUCUCAUCUCGAUCCAGUUCUAGUUCUAGCUCACCUAGCCAACCCAGCGACGGUACAGAGUACAGACAGACACCCCAGCUAGCAACCAUCUACCGGCAUUGCUGGGCCGCCAAAGUCUCUGCUGCCUGCGCCAGCCCACGCCACCUAUGCACGCGCUGAUGCGCAACCGGUCUCGGCCAUGCCGUGCACGCGUGCCCAACGUGUGGUAGCACUUAGCAGAGGCACGAAAUCGUAAUGGCUCGCGGCGAUCCAGUGCGCCUGCCGCGGCAUGCGGUCCAGGCCCUCCAGGGACCGUGGCGUCGAUGCGGCGCAUGUGGCCUCGCUCUCGCUCCCCUCCGCGCGCUAGCCCUGCCUUGCCGUGUCUUCGGCAGGGCGCUCGCGAUCGGUGUGGGCUGGUCUGCGCGUGGGGCGCGUUGCAGCUUUGCAGUUGCAGCGCCGGGUGGUGCGUCCGGGCCACGCAGCCAUGCGUGCUGUGCAGGCCGAGCGAUAAGAGAAUCACUGGCGUGGAUAAAGAGCAACAGUGGAAACGUCCGAUCAAUGGCGAAUUUACGUACAUUUUACUGCUACUAGGGUACAAGGCGAAGAACAUGUACGGGGUGGCGACUUACAUGAGCGGCCGUAGCUGUCAACACGGUCAUAUAUCUCUGUUCAGUUCUUUUGUGUGUUAGCGUGGUUGCCGUUCUACCUUGACGUAGGUUCCGAUGGCGUCGAGGUGGCGGCCGGAGCGCGCGUGGAAGCCGACGAUCCUGCCGCCGGCCGCCGGGAGCGCGAACGGGACGCCGUCCGGGCGUCCGUACGGCCCGUAGGCGCGGCGGUUGCUGACGAACGUGAGCGACCGCACCACGAAGUUGCCCUCGAACUCGCCGCAGUGGCCUUCCACGCUGGUGAGGUGCUCGUCGGGGCGCAGGCAGAUCUGCGGCAUCGCGCUGCUAGUCGUCAGAGUGGGACGAGAAAACGACGGCGGCGUGUCGUGUCACGCGCCACGCACGCGCACGCCACGUAACGGAUCGGGAACGUGACGACGUUACCUCGGCGAGGCCGCCGCCGGGGCCGCCCCAGAGGUCGGUCCACUCCUGGCGGCCGCCGCGGUCGUAGAGCACGGAGACGGCGUCGACGGUGUCCCCGUGGCGGACGACCACCUUGACGACGCGGUCCACGCCGCGGGUGUCCACGUCCCGGGCGCCCCCGCCGCCGCCGCCGCAGGGACCCAUCCGCACCACGGACCCCUGCACGAACGCGUCCCAUCAGGGAAAACGUGGAAAAAGCUAGCCGCGGCGUCAGCAGAUGAUGCACCUGCUGACCUGCACGCCGCCACACCGCUGGCAAAAGGCAAAUGCUGGGCUCCAUCCCUGCAGGUACGUACCAUCGAUCGCUGCACAAGGAGGGCCUGCAGUGCAGGCUUUGGCGACGGGUUCGUUCGUUGCACUGGCGCUGGCUGGCGAUGGGACGGGACGGAUGGCUCGAAUUUGUGGCGCGCCACCAAGUCAACCGCGGGGCGGAUAUGGUUGGCUCGUCGUGGUACGUGGCAACGUGCUCGGCACUACUACCUCGCGCGUUCUACGUGGCGCCGUGUAAUAGCUGUAUGUUUGAAAUUUCGGGGAGACAGAGCAGGUAAUGCCGUCUGCCGGACAGGCUGUGCGCUGGGUUUUACGGGGUACUUGCGUUUCCUGACGAUUCGAGGCAUCCACGUCGUCGAUGCAAACGCAGGUCCUCGCCGGUGUCCGGAGCUCCGGAGACACCAGACGUGCGGCUGCACCCCGGCGGCUGGCUCAGCCUCUGGUGCUGGUGCGGUGCCAGCCCAUGCCCAUCUGGCUCGCCGUCCUCCCUCGCAGCCACUCCUUUGCACGGCCCACCGCUCCGCUACUGCUUGCUGCGCUGCAGCAGCAGGUUUUCUACUCACAGAAUCGGGCCGCGGCACGCAUACCUGCUGCACGGGGCAUGGGGGAUGGGCACGCACAGUGCACGCGCAAUUUUACUGCCCAGUGCCGCGGCGCAGGCUCGACUUCCGUCACCCGGCCGAUUCGGCCCAAAUACUCUCCCGCAAUCCCAAUUCGUUACACGUCAGUUGUGCUCACUUCAGUUACCAGGCCACAGAUGCUCUUGGAUCUGUGUCAUUCCUCUCCCGGUUCCUUUCUAGUGGCCAAAAAAGAAGAGCGAAAACUUGUGCUCCAACAAUCUUUACAAAACCUGACAAAUCGAGUUACACGACUCUUCCAGUGAACAGCGCAACGCAGUUGGCGCUCCAGUAGCAACUAUUCCCUUCCCUUCCCUCCCCAUUCUUGUAGUCCGCAACUCGGGUGUAACAACAGCAAACCAAGAGAGUCGAUUUUACAGUUUAUAGGCAAUAUCAAUAACCAAAAACAAAAACUUCAUAUCAUAUUCAUAUCUCAGCGAGACCCAAUCCAAUAUCCCAACAACAAUGUACUCUAACCCCACCUAGCAGCACCCGAACCGGCUUGCCUGCUGCUUCUGGUCGUCUUUCGAGUCGCCGUCGAUGCUCACCCUGUUGAGGGAGAGCUCGGCCUUGUACGAGUCCGAGUUCAGGAUCUUCCGGCUCACGUUGCUGUAGAUCUCCUUGAUGACGAUCUCGAAGGCCGUCUCCACGUUGGUGGCGUCCAGGGCCGAGGUCUCCAUGAAGAACAUGCUCUCGGCUUCAGCAAGCGCCUUGCCUUCCUCGACGGGCACCUCGCGGAUGUUGUCCAGAUCACAUUUGUUGCCCACCAGCAUCUUGGCUACAGUAGUGUCGGAAUGCGCUGCAUAGGAUUUCCAAUGAUGAGUUAACCACUCCAGCAGAAUUUCAGGGGGGGGGGGGGGGAUAAAUGGGUUAUGUACAGGAUCUUAGGGAGACAAGGCAGCAGUACACAAGCGCAAGAUAUGAAUUGUUGUGAAAGUGUCACUGGCAUGCAAGAAGAAUUGCAGAAUAGGGUUUGUUGCUUCAUAACGAAUGGACUGUGACUGCAAUCCCAAUCAAGGGAUAACUGAACCUUUUCAGUUAGUGCAAUGAAUGUAAAGUAGCAGGAAUGGUAUAAGAAACCAACACUACUUUCAAGCAUGAUCCUUAGACAAGGGUGUAGUGUGCUAUUGAGUGUGAUAUCAGCUAACAGUCUGCUGAUUAUCUUCAACAUCCAAAGUUAGCACAGAAGAGCACUACUUGCUAUAGUUAGUAUGCAAGAUGCAAGUUGCUACUGUGCUACAGAACAAAUACUGAUAUGCAUUUUGGAUAUGCUAUGGAUUUUUCCAUUAUCAAUAAGUAUGCAACUCAGUAUCUUGAGGGCCAUUACUACCGUAGCUUACCCUUCCACCAGCUUUCGCAUGUGUGUACAAAUGAAAUGAACCUAUGCAGGCAUUUGUCCCUGGUUCUCACAGUCAGAGGUUCAAAGCUUGUCUCCGCAAAAGUGAACUCCUAAUAGUACUACAGCGAUCAAAGUCAUGCUAUAAUUCAUCUGAUAAUCCCUGUGACAAAGAAUAGCACCCAUGCAGUUGCAGGCUUGCAGCAAGCAUGUUAGGCAGAUCUGUAGCAGGUGCAUGAAUGUCGCUACGUACUGGUGCUAGCAAAUGAAACUCAUGAAGUAAGCCAAGAAACCGCAUUCACCACACCUCUUUCAUUUUCUUGCCUUCUUCUUCGUUACUACGUUCUUUCUUCACAAUCCUCCCAGCAACAGCCCUGGCCAUCUCUCUAAGCCCCGCCUUUUCUUGCUGGUUCCAGCGACGCCAAAAACCCAAGCGUGAACCAUCCCACCUCCUAGCCCAACUGGAGAGCACCCAUCUCUUACAGUGUCACGACAAGCGUGCACAUUGCUACCGGCAAACACUUGCCUCCAAACAGCACCCCAACAAGCGUGCACAUUGCUUCUGGUGGCAACGCAAGCAUUAUAUAUCAUUUUGGCAUGUUAGUGAAGCACUGAAGCAUAAUCAGAAUAAUGUGAGCAUUGUGCUCACUCAUCAAGACCCUCCUAGAGGUCCUAGCCAACUAAAAAAACUCCACGCAGAAUUAGUAACUGCUUCCAACUUCCUAAAUCCGUAAACCGCGGAGACAGCUUUCCACAAAAUUUACUCUACAACUUUCCCGAAUUCGAAUCCAGUAGCUUGCACAAAAAUUCUGAUCGAAGUGGUCCAACCAACAACACAUUCAUUCCUGAAACAUUCCCCAAAAAGUCAGGCACCAGGAUUCAGAUCCAGAUUCAGACCAUGUCGCCGAAUCCAUCUGGCCUAGCACUCGCUGUGCGCCUGUGACCUCUUACUAUCUAAAGAAUUAGCACCUGAUCCAAUCAUCAGCAAUGCAUCCCUACAAGCUACUAUACGUGAACCAAAAGCGAAAGGGAUAUUCCUUUUCCCUAAAUUUCUCACUGGACUGGAUUCUGCAGCCAGCUACGCUUGAGCAAAACAUAGGCCCCUUCCAACCAAAAACCACCCCAGAUCUACACGAUCCUAGCGCAUCAAUCAAAGCCAUUGUAAGCAAGUAUAUACUAGUAUCAAGCAAGCAAGCAAGCAAGCGAUCGAGCAAGCGAGCAAGUAGCAAGCAGAAGAGAGCGAAGCGGCCGUGGGGGUGUACACGUACUGUUGAGCUCCUGGAGCCAUCGGCCGACGUUCUCGAAGGUGGAGCGUCGCGAGAUGUCGUAGACGAGGAGCGCGCCGAAGGCUCCCCUGUAGUACGCGGAGGUGACGGCGCGGAAGCGCUCCUGGCCCGCGGUGUCCCAGAUCUGGGCCUUGACCUCCUUGCCGUCAAUGUCCAUGCUCUGGGUCUGGAACUCGACCCCGAUGGUGGCCUUGGAGUGGAGGUUGAACUCGUUGCGCGCGUAGCGCGAGAGCAGGUUGCUCUUCCCCACCGCGCUGUCCCCGAUGAUCACCACCUUGAAGAGGUACUCCUCCGCCUCGCCCUCCGAGUCGUCCCCCAUCGCUCGCUCGCGGCGCCCGGGGACGGACCUGCUCCGGAGGCUCCCUCGCUGUAUGUGGCUGCCGCCGCGCCUCGCCGCGCCCGUACGUCGUCGCCUCGGGAAUGCGCGAGAUUUGUAGCGGUUUCGCGGUGGGUUUUGGCCGAACGCGGCGCGGGUCAGGUCGGCGCGGCGCGGCGCGGGGGCGGGGGCGGGGGCGGGGCGCCUCCACUGGUGGCCGGGCCGGAGGUGUGGUGGUGGGGUGGUGAGGGGAGCGAGACGAGUGGGAGACUAGUGGGGCGCACGCGCGGGGGUUGUUUGGGUCGCUGACGGGUGGGUCCGGGUGCCGGGGGGCGCGCUCGGCGGGGCCGGCCUGUCGGUGGGGCUCGGGAGAGGCGGGGCGGAGUCGUGGGGUGCCUGUCACGCCGCACCCCCGCGCCCCGCGGCUGCCUUAACUCGCGGGUGAGUUGGCGCCUCGUUGUCCUCCGAUGGGCGACGUCUCGCGGGCCCGGGCCCGGGCCCGUUUCGAGGGAGGCACGGGCGUCUCGGUGUCGCUCGACUCUCUCGCAUUCGCUUGCUGCCUGCAAUUUUCCCGGUGCAGGCUCCUGCGAAGCAAGCACCCCAGCUAUCAUCAGACGUGCUGAGAUUUGGGUAUUGUAACGUGGAUAUUGUAAGACUUCACUGUGCUACGCGAAAAGGAAACCCGCAAUACGUGCCAAUGUGAUGCGUCACCACGACAUCCGCGAUCCGCCACCUUCUUGUUUUCUCAAAUCUCAACAAGGAAAAACUUGCCGGCUACGACCAUUUCAAGGGAGGGGCCGGGUACAAUACGAUACAGAGGAGAGCAUCCUGCGUCCUUUUGUUUUGUAGCAGCGAGCGAUCGAUCGAGCCAGUGACGGAGAUGACCAUUCGGAAGCACGCGUGCAAGUGGCAGAUCAAGUACACAAUAACAUGACAACACACAGUCACACACGUCCAUGGCUAGCUGAACCCUGAAGACUAGAGAAAGACAAGCGUCACUGAUCAUCGGUAGUGUACGACUAGAGUAUUGUGGUAGCGGUCACACACACCUCCGCUUUAUUCAAGAGGCCAGCCGUCGGCGCGCCAUGCGUGCACAAAGCAUCACAGCAUCUCCAAAACAAGCAACACGUACUACUAGGAGUCCAGGACUAGACAUGCAAAGAUGGAUCGACGUGCAAUGUGUGCGAGAGACUCGAGACACGCCGAGACCGGCGGGGCUACAGAUGGCAGACGCAUUUGUAGUGGUAGGCGCUGUUGAUGGGGUCGCUGGCGUCGAUGGGGACCACCUGGACGCUGCACCUGUGGCGGCAGCCCCGGCACUCGUUGUAGGUGCACGUCGUCGGAGCCCUCGACCCCACCAGCAUCCUCCUCCCGCCGCCACCACCGGCGCCCGUCGUCGUCUGCUCCUUGUUGUUCAUCAACGACGAGGCCGGCAACCCACCAUCACCGGGCGCCGGUGCUUCAUCCGGUCUCCGCCGUAAGCCCUAAAAACAAAGCAUGAGACCGGAUAAUAUGCUAGAUGCAUGCACGCCGCAUCAUGUAACAACAGAGUCAAAGAUACCUGCUGCAGCUGCUCUGUCUGAUGAAGGACUUGAAUCGGCGGCGAGGUUGCUCCGGCGCCUACUACGGCGGCGUCACCUGUUUGAAUCGCAUGAAUGCAUUGCAUGCAUAUGUGCACAGGAGAUCGAUAGCGUGAGAGAUAACAUAGUACUUAAGAUCGGACGACGAGGCAUCGUCAUCUACUGAUCGUUGAUUUGAUUGUGAUUUGGACAUUCAUAGGAGAAUCAUGGGUUAGAGUCGUACAUACCAAUCACGAGAAGAGCCACGAGGAGGAGAUGGCACAACAGCACGUAACGCUGCUUCUUGUUUCUAGCUGCUGCCAUAUCUUGUUGCUCUUAACUGCCGAUCAUUGAUAGCUAGCUAGACACUCGAAGAUCCAGUGACAUUUAUACUACUGCCGAUCGAGAGCGGCCGUACGUGUGUUGCAUUGCAGGAGGAAGAAGACGAGAGAGAUGGUGAUCGAGGAGAAAGGUAAGAGGCCCCCCGGCCCGGCGCCGGGCAUUACGUGCAGCAUGGCAUCCGCAGGCGUUCCGGGCCAGGGCAUAGUGCACGGUUUGUACGUUGUGUGGUUCCAGCAGCUUCCCGAAAUUACCGAAUUGCCCAUCAUCGCUGCAUGCAUGCAUAACAGUCACGCCCAGCACAUGUAUUAUAUUGUUUAAUCAGCAACUGGAUGCUUUUUAUAUUGUUUCAUCAGCAGUCGGGUAUUUUUACAGCAGUAUAUCCUUCGGCACCAUUGGGAGACGAAUCAAAUGCAUGGCAAGCCGGUGAUUACUGAUUACCGCAACGGAACUAGUCAAAACACGCACGUACAAAAAAAAAACA
rnacentral:lncRNA from 1 species